UCCAUCCGGCGUCCGCACGAAUACCCAGCCCGAAAUGUUCAAAAAUCCAAAUCGGCUAAGAACAACGUCGGCGGCGCGAUCAGGCACGCAAGUCGAGCGAGAACCCGCAGUAGGGAAGCGGCGAACGGGGUAGGAAUACGUAGGUAACGUACCCUCGGGGCGAGGACAGCCACGGGAAACUGUGGGUAAUACUCGAUAAACUUCCCAAUCAUUAUGGAAGGGGAAGCAAUGGGUGUGAUUCCACCUGAGGAGCGGCUUACGCAGUAUCAGCUAGUUGGUGAGGUAACGGCUCACCAAGGCUACGACGCUUAGGGGGUGUGAGAGCAUGGCCCCCACCACUGGCACUGAGACACUGGCCAGACACCUACGGGUGGCUGCAGUCAAGAAUCUUCCGCAAUGGACGAAAGUCUGACGGAGCGACGCCGCGUGCGGGAUGAAGGCCCUUGGGUUGUAAACCGCUUUCGGAGGGGAUGAAAUCCUCGAGGGUACUCCCUCGAGGUUGACAGAGCCUCAAAAGAAGCACGGGCUAAGUACGUGCCAGCAGCCGCGGUAACACGUACUGUGCGAACGUUAUUCGGAAUCACUGGGCUUAAAGGGUGCGUAGGCGGCGAUUCAAGUCAGAUGUGAAAUGCCUGAGCUCAACUGAGGCAUUGCGUUUGAAACUGAUUCGCUAGAGUAUUUCGGGGGUGUGCGGAACUGCCAGUGGAGCGGUGAAAUGUGUUGAUAUCGGAAGGAACGCCAGCAGCGAAAGCGGCACACUGGGCAUCUACUGACGCUGAGGCACGAAAGCUAGGGGGAGUGAACGGGAUUAGAUACCCCGGUAAUCCUAGCCGUAAACACUGAACGCUGGGAGAGAAGGGGAGGUCUCGUGUCUUUCUUUCCCCGUAAGCGAAAAGCCGUAAAGUGCUCCGGCCUGGGGGAAGUAUCGUCAGCAAAGGACCAGAAACUCAAAGGGAAUUUGGACCGGGGCACUCAACAGGCGAAGCAAGCCAUGCUGGUCUUAAGUUGCGGAACGGCCCACCGCGCCAGAAAGAAUAUACCUCCU
rnacentral:rRNA from 1 species